GCCAUUCUUGCAGAAGUGAGACGGUAUUGCAUUCCACUUGUAUAUCUUCUUUUGAGAAUUGUCUAUUCAUGUACUUAUCUCAAUUUUUGGUGGGAUUCUUCGUUUUUUUUCUUGCUGAUUUGUUUGAGUUCUUUGUAGAUUCUGGAUAUUAGUCCUUUGUCAGAUGUAUAUGUUGCGAAGAUUUUCUCCCACUCUGUGGGUUGUCUGUUAAUUCUGCUGAUUAUUUAUUUUGCUGUAUAGUUUUUCAGUUUACUUAAGUCUCAUCUAUUUAUCUUUGUUUUUGUUGCAUUUGCUUUUGGGUUCUUGGUCAUGAAGUCUUUGCCUAAGCCAAUGUCUAGAAGGGUUUUCCCAAUGUUAUCAUCUAGAAUCUUUGUGGUUUCAGGUCUCAGAUUUAAGUCUUUGAUCCAUCUUGAAUUGAUUUUUGUAUAAGGUGAGAGAUGAGUAUCCAGCUUCAUUCUUCUCCAUGUGGCUUGCCAAUUAUUCCAGAAGCUUGUUUUUUUUUUUAAAUGAAGAAAUGGUAAAGAAGGUAAGUCCUCCACUAGACUAAAUAUGAGCAUGGCACCCUGAUACAAAUAAUGUAGUCAAAUUCUUAUCUGGACUUCAUUGUCUACCCCCAAGCAAUUUGUCAAGUUAUUUUCCUAAAUACAGAGUUUUCCUGCCAAGAAUUCUGGUGACAGUUGUCAGGCAAUAAAAUUGUAAUUUCCUGGCUAUAAAUGAAUGGUCUUUCCACUGACAGAUGACAUCAUAUUGUAUAGAUUCAUUCCUGAAGAAUCUAUUGCAGCCCUAAAGUACUACUACCUUUACCUUUUAAAGGGGCUCUGAACUUUCCGAAGCUUACUAACUAAAAGGAUAUUUUAAAAACUUCAAUAAUGGCUAUUAUAUCAUUAUUUACCAUGUAAGUAUUAUUGUGGCACAUUGCAAAGCAUUGGUAAUAUGGCCAUCGCAGAGUUAUCUUGCCUAAUCAUUUAAUCCUAAGGUUUCUUUUAAAAAAAAUGGCUCAUGAUCCACAAAGACAGUAAGCACAUAAGAUUUCAGAGGAGAAAACAAUCGCUGUAGCCUAGAAUAAUUGAGGUUUCAGCAGUGAAAUCUGAGUUGGCCAGGUAGGAUUCAGCUGGGAGAGAGGAAGCAGAAAGGUACUCUUGUCUAAGUGAAUAGCGUGGACAAAUCUGCGGUGAUGAGAAUGCAUAAAGCAUGCUUUAGGGAACAGUCAGUUGAGUAGUCUAGCUGGGGUAGAGUAUACUGUUGUAGAAAAUCUUAAAACUCAAGCAAGAUAGUUUGCAUUUUUUUGCUUCUGUGAGCAUAUGGGAACCUAGCACUGGAGGCUAGGAGGGAGGGAUGAGAGCUUUAAGAAGGUGAACCUGAUUGCAGAGUGCAUGGCUCUGGAGGCUGGGGGUCCAUUUUAGAUGAAAUGAAGUCGUCCAUGUGCAACUGCAACAGCUUGACUGAAGGAGGGAAAGGGAGAGUGGAAAUGAUGAGUCAGAGGGGGAGAUGUUAGGAAGAAAAAGGAUCAGCAGCUCUUGGGGACCAACUGGAAAAGGAAGUCCAGAUGGAGAGGGCAUCCAAGAUGAUUCCAAAGUUUGCAGCCUUCAUCAUGGUGGAAGAAACUACCCUUGGAAAAAUCAGGAAAGAAAAGGGAGCCAGGAUUAGGAGGUAAAAAAAGGAAUUUGUUCCCUAAUAGACUGAGUUUGAGGUGACAGUAAGAUAAUGAGGUGGGGCUGUUCAGAAGGCAGUGGGGAAGAAAGUUAAGAAAACCAGUCAGGGCUGGAAAUAAGGAUCUGGGAGCUGUUUCCGCCUUAAAAUGGUCCUCUUUCCUUCCUAACAGAAUUCCACCUGUGUUUGGGCUGCCAUGUGCCCAGAUGGAAAGGAUAAGCCAUGAUUGGCCAGACCCCAAAUAUGCAAGCAAGAAGAGUCAGUCUGAGGCUCCUCACUGUGACGGACUGAGGAGCUUUAUUUACUCCCUGCGGAUAGUGGCCUGCCACCAGAGAGGCCACAGGCCGGAGUGAUGGAGCUGACUCAUAGGGUAAGGAGAAAGUGGCCUGGAUCGUUGACAGAGGUAAGCAGUGUCCAAUUCCUCCUAGGCGGGGGAGGGAGAGGUUAUGGCAAAGAAAGCCGUUUCUAUUCCACUGGGCAAUUAAUGCCACCAUUUUUCUUGAAAAAGCGUUUUUUUUUUCAUAAGCCGUUGAGGAUAAUUUAACCCCCAUCUUGACAGGACGUACUAAUGACCGCUAAUGGAUACAUUCUUUUAAUAAAUGAAGAGGCACAAGAAAAUUGCCAGAUAUUAAACAGAGUCCCACAUGUCUUAUCUGAGACUAUAAUGGCUCUAUCAAGUGACCCAAGUGAAAGAAAUGUCACUCUUCAGAGGUUAAAGGAGUCUAUUUUUUCUUAGUGCGAUAUAAAUUCAUGGCUAGAAAGAACAGUAAUUCAUUGGUCUACCCUAGGAAAUGUUUAAAGGGGGCUGUAUCUCAAAUGAUGCAUUUUCUAUCGGUAGUAAAGAAAAUAUGAAAUAGGUACCUCUGUGCACUGUGGAUUUAUGUAAAUGGCUUUUUACCAGGUAAUAUAGCCUAAAGCUCUGUCAAGUCUCUAACGCUUGGAAUUUUUGGCAAAGAAAUGAAAGAACCUGUAAGUUAUCAUUAUUUUAUUUUAUUUUUUUCAAUACCUUCCAGGGUGUGGUCUUUUUGUUUGGUAAUUUUAAACUACAUUCUUGAAAAAGUUUCUCAAGAUUCAAGCAAUUCCUAGGACUGUAUGUACACUUGGGGAACAUUUCUUAAAAUACAUAACGAAUUCAAAUUAAUAAGAAAAAGACAACCCAGAAGAAAAAUGGACACGUGAAUUAAUCAGAAACUCAAGAGGUGGCGUAUAUUUGAGCAUGGAUCUAAAUGAGGUGAAGGAUUGAGAUGGCUGCUUGGGGAAGAACUUUCCAGGCAUGAAUGAAUGCCUGAAUUGAGCAUCUCCACUUCCUGAUAUGAGAGAAGAGACGUAACAAAGAUUCCUCCAGAACCAAAAGGAUCCGAGAUAAGGCUAACUUGAUUAACGUGCUUAAUGUGAAUGCCACACCUUGGGUUUCCCAGGAAGAAGACUCUCAGAUGAAGACCAGUGUUUAGGAAGCUUAUUAGGAAUGCUUGCGGGAUCAACACCUGCUGGGGAAGAAAGGCAGCAAGAUUGGGCAGAGGACAGAGUUGGGCUAUGGUGCAGUCUCAGUGGAGGUUUCCAUCGGCCAUCGGGAGUUCUGAAGCUGGGCUGGCCCUUCGGGGUGGUCCCAAGUUGGGGGCUGGAUCUUUAUGCCUCGCCUUAGUCCAUCAUUAGAUGUUGGCCAUCCCAGGAAGGAGUAUGACCUUGGGUGAGGUGGCUCCCCUCUGCCACAGUAGUCCUUGGCAGCUGAGGGCUACUUAAAUGAUUUCAACUUCUUCCUUUUGUUCCCCCAGCACCAGGAGUGAUGGUUCCUCAGCAGUGGAGGGAGGGAGUCCUUCCUUCCUGAAGGGGAUCUGGGUGGGCCAGUUCACUGUUCAUCACCGUGAGACAAGGCUCACUGUGGUUCCAGCUCCCAUAAAGGAAUCUCUCAGUCCCUGGCUCUGGCCACACCACUGUGGUAGAUGUGAGGUACUCAGGUCCUCUUUAAGGAAGGACUUGCUGCCCAACGGCAGGUGCUGCAGCCAGCAUCCAGCUGUCAGCCCCUACAGGGUCAGCCUUACUUGCAGAGAACCACCUUGCUCGAGGUCAUGCCCUUCCUGAAGCAGCUGGCAUCCGAUGUUGACCCCUCAUGAACACCUUGCACUCCAGUAUAUUUCUAAGUGCUUCUGAGAGCCCGGCCUGCAACACCACUUCUCCCCUCUGCCUCCAGCCUAGAGAUGGGAAUGGCUUCCUGCUGGUGCUAAUCUCUAGGUGGCCUCACCAUGUCCCAUUUGGACACUCUGCUCUUGCAUCAUCCAUGUAAUCAAUUAACUGCAUUAAAUCCCCAUCUCUUUAAAUAAAGUAGGUUCUGACACAGCCAACAUUAUACUGAAUGGGGAAAAGUUGAAAGCGUUCCUCCUGAGAACUGGAACAAGACAAGGAUGUUCACUUUCACCACUUCUAUUCAACAUAGUACUGGAAGUCCUAGCCAGAGCAAUCAGACAAGAGAAGGCAAUAAAGGACAUCCAAAAAAGUAAAGAGGAAGUCAAACUGUCACUGUUUGCUGAUGAUAUGAUUGUAUACCUAGAAAACCCUAAGAACUUAUCCAAAAAGCUCCUAGAACUGAUUAAUGAAUUCAGUAAAGUUUCAGGAUACAGAAUUAAUGUACACAAGUCAGUAGCACUGCUGUACACCAACAGUAACCAAGCUGAGAAUCAAAUCAAGAACUCAGCCUCUUUUACAAUAGCUGCAAAAAAUAAAAUAAAAUACUGAGGAAUAUACCUGUUACCAAGGAGGUGAAAGACCUCUACAAUGAAAACUAUAAAACACUGCUGAAAGAAAUCAUAGAUGACACAAACAAAUGGAAACACAUCUCAUGCUCAUGGAUGGGUAGAAUCAAUAUCGUGAAAAUGACCAUACUGCGAAAAGCAAUCUACAAAUUCAGUGCAAUUCCCAUCACAGUAUCACCAACAUUCUUCACAAAGCUGGAAAAAGCAAUCCUAAAAUUCAUAUGGAAUGAAAAAAGAGCCCGCAUAGCCAAAGCAAUACUAAGCAAAAAGAACAAAUCUAGAGGCGUCACAUUACCCAACUUCGAACUAUACUAUAAGGCCAUAGUCACCAAAACAGCAUGGUACUGGUAUAAAAUAGGUACAUAAACCAAUGGAACAGAAUAGAGAACCCAGAAAUAAAGCUGGAUACUUAUAGCUAACGAGUCUUCAACAAAGCAAACAAAAUAAAGUGGGGAAAGGACACCCCAUUCAACAAAUGGUGCUGGGAUAAUUGUCAAGCCACAUGUAGAAAAAAUGAAACUGGAUCCUCAUCUCUCAUUUUAUACAAAAAUCAACUCAAGAUGGAUCAAAGACUUAAGUCUAAGACCUGAAACCAUAAAAAUUCUAGAAGAUAACAUUGGAAAAACCCUUCUAGACAUUGGCAUAGGCAAAGACUUCACGACCAAGAACCCAAAAGAAAAUGCAACAGAAACAAAGAUAGAUAGGUAGGACUUAAUUAAACUAAAUUACUUCUACACAGCAAAAGAAAUUAUCAGUAUAGACCACCCACAGAAUAGGAGAAAAUCUUUGCAAUCUAUACAUCUGACAAAGGAUUAAUAUCCAGAAUCUACAAGGAACUCAGAUCAGCAAGAAAAAAACAAAGAAUCCCAUCAAAAAAUGGGCUAAGGACAUGAAUAAACAAUUCUCAAAAGAUGUACAAAGGGCCAACAAACAUAUGAAAAAAUAUUCAACAUCACUAAUUAUCAGGGAAAUGCAAAUCAAAACCACAAUGAGAUGCUACCUCACUCCUGCAAGAAUGGCCAUAAUCAAAGAUCAAAAAUAAUAGAUGUUGGCAUGGAUGUGAAGAAAAGGGAACACUUUUACACUGCUGGUGGGAAUGUAAACUAGUACAACCACCAUGGAAAACAGUGUGGAGAUUCCUUAAAGAACUAAAAAUAGAUGUACCAUUUGAUCCAGUGAUCCCACUACUAAGUAUCUACCCAGAGGAAAAGAAGUUAUUAUACUAAAAAGAUACUUGCACAUGGAUGUUUAUAGCAGCACAAUUCGCAAUUGCAAAAAUAUGGAACCAGCCCAAAUGCCCAUCAAUCAAUGAGUGGAUAAAGAAAAUGUGAGGGAUAAAAGACUACACAUUGGGUACAGUGUAUACUGCUUGUGUGAAGGGUGCACCAAAAUCCCAGAAGUCACCACUAAAGGACUUAUUCAUGUAACCAAACACCACCUGUUCCCCAAAAACCUAUUGAAAUGGAAAAUAAAUAAAGUAGGUUCUGUUUUCCUGGCUAGACACUGCCUGAUAUAGUGAGUUUUACAUCUAAACUUCAGUUUAUAUUCUCAUUUCCCUUGCUAAUCUAGUAUUUUAUAAGGGGGCCCUCAACUCAUAAAUAUAUAUUAAUAUAUAUAUGUUUGUGUGUAUAUAUUCCUCAUCUGCAACCAAACGCAGAUCGAAAAUACAGUAUUCCUGGAAUGUGACACCCACGUGUAUCAAGGGCCGACUUUUCAUAUAUGCAUGUUCCUCAGGGCCAACUGCAGGACUUAAGUAUGUGGAAAUCUGGAUAUGUGAGGGGGUCCUGGAACCAAUACCUUGUGGAUACCAAGAGAUGACUGUAUAUAUUUGCUCCAGCAGUGGAGAUGCAGCAUACAUAAGUGUUUUGCCAUGACUAUGCCCAAUGUCAUACUUGGGGUCAGGUUGAAGCCCAUGCUGAGGUCCAAGGGGAGUGGGUGGAUGGGCACAUAGCGGUAAGAACACUUGGAGGGCCGUAAGCAGGUGAAAAGUAGGUUUAUUCAGCAGCUCUCCCAUCAGCAGCUCUCUCACCCUGUCUGCCUUUAUCUUGGUUGUGUGCUGUGACUCUGUGGCUCCUUUCAGCAGUUGGCUCUGCACCUCUGGCUGCUUCCACACACAGGUGUAUGGCCAGCUUUCCCUUCCUUCAGGGUCAGCAGCUUAACUCUUUCCCUCUGGGCACAAACUGGUUUCUGGCUCCCCUCUGCCCGCUUUCAAGGCGACUGGCUCUCCCUUACAGGGAUCAGAAGCGUUACUCUCCGGGCACAGUAUGCACACUGUGUUGAGCCAUGUUUAGCCAUGCCCCAGAGUGCCUGUACGGUGUCAGCAGGGCAGUUAUACCUUUUCCAAACAAUAGUGGCUUUGAGCCAAAUAUGAGCUUACACAAACAGGUUAUAUAACAAAUAAGAGUAUGUACCUGCACCCUAAACUCGCCGAGUCAUGCAGGCCUGGAUGUCUGCCUCGGCCUAAUUCUUGACCAAAGCACAUGGAUGUACCUUACAGUAAGUAAGCCCAGCAAGCAGCAGAUGAUCCAUAACCCAUAUGAUCCUCAGGUGGGUCCUUAGCCAGCACUGCUCCUCACCGCCACUUGCUCUCAGCUAUCCCUGUGACCCCAGCUAAAAUUGGACAUGUUUGGCACCAGCAAUCCCCAAGCUGGCCUCUGGCUGUUUUGCACUGACCUUCCUCCUUCUCCUCUUCCUCCAUUAUCUUUGUGUCUGGCUCUGGCAUCACUUCCCUGGAUUUCUCCUGAGGGCAGAGCUCGGAGUAGGCUGAGGCAAGACAGGAGCCAAGGGCACACAAGUUAAGGACACAUUCACUUCUUAGGUUGUGCAAGUGCAGGCUGGGCAGUUCUUCUCUUUGGAGGGUUAAGAUGGGAAGCUGUUACACAGGAGGCUGAGUCAGGAGGAUUGCUUGAGCCCAGGAGUUUGAGGUUGCAGUGAACUAUG
rnacentral:lncRNA from 1 species